UCGUAGUGAACUGNGGAAGGAUAU
rnacentral:rRNA from 1 species